AGGAAAUCCUUCCAGUCCAUGAGUUCUAUUUCCAAUGAAGAUGACCUUUUGAUCCAGCAAUUAGACAGCAUCCUCCAUGAUCCAUGAAUCAAAGUAAGCUCUAAUCCCUUGCACCCAAGUGGCUACUCCAUGCAGUGGAUGGGAAUCCUCCCCACCCUGAGCUUCAUCAAUGGUUGCUUCAGUUGUCUAAUCUCUGCUAGUAACCACAGUUUUCAAAGAUAUUUCUGAAGUAUAAUUGUUAGAACAUCUGCACAUUCCAUCCACCAGGAAAUCUUUUUUAAUUACCAUUCUCCUCCAAAGUUACUGAC